GGUCGUAAUGGAGUUCUUAGGUUAUGGGAGGCAACCAUCAACAUUUAACUUUGUAUUACUUCUUCCAUUUAUUAUGGUGUCAAUUAUUGAAGGAACUGCAUCAACAUUUAACGUUGUAUUCAAUCUUCCAUUCAUCAUAGUGUGAAUUGUUGAAGGCAAGAUAGGAAGUGCUUGAAUGGUGAUGAUGUAAAUCCAAUUUUCUUCAAUUUGUAGAAUCUACAUUGUAUGAUUUGAGCAUUCAAAUAUAAAACCCCAAUUUUACCUGGGC
rnacentral:misc_RNA from 1 species